GUAUUUUAAAGUAAAAUCUACUUUCAUAAUAUCUUCAAUAUUAUACUUUUUUCCAUAAGCUAUUAAAAUA
rnacentral:tRNA from 1 species